rnacentral:rRNA from 1 species
CACUUGGAGGCUGCUGACGAUUGUGGUCUGUAGGAUUGUUCUCUUAGCUUGCUAUGAGGGCAGUUAGUGGCAGACGGGUGAGUAAUGCAUAGGAAUCUACCUAGUAGUAUAGGAUAGCCACUAGAAGUGGUGGGUAAUACUGUAUAUUCCCUGCGGGGGAAAGAUUUAUCGCUACAUGAUGAGCCUAUGUUAGAUUAGCUAGUUGGUGGGGUAAUGGCCUACCAAGGCAGUGAUCUAUAGCUGGUCUGAGAGGAUGAUCAGCCACACUGGAACUGAGACACGGUCCAGACUCCUACGGGAGGCAGCAGUGGGGAAUAUUGGACAAUGGGCGCAAGCCUGAUCCAGCUAUGCCGCGUGAGUGAGGAAGGCCUUAGGGUUGUAAAACUCUUUCAGUGGGGAAGAUAAUGACGGUACCCACAGAAGAAGUCCCGGCAAACUCCGUGCCAGCAGCCGCGGUAAUACGGAGGGGGCAAGCGUUGUUCGGAAUUAUUGGGCGUAAAGGGCAUGUAGGUGGUUUGGUAAGUUAAAGGUGAAAUGCCAGGGCUUAACCCUGGAGCUGCUUUUAAUACUGCCAGACUGGAGUCCGGGAGAGGAUAGCGGAAUUCCUGGG